AGCUCCAAUAGCGUAUAUUAAAGUUGCUGCAGUUAAAAAGCUCGUAGUUGCAUUUCCGAGGCAAGGGAUUAGUCCGACCUUUGGUGGGUAUUUAAUCCUCUUGCCUCGUCCUUGAGUGGUGCUUCUUGGUAUUAAGUUAUCGAGGAGAUAGCCGCUCAUCGUUUACUGUGAGAAAAUUAGAGUGUUCAAAGCAGGCUUAUGCCGUUGAAUAUAUUAGCAUGGAAUAAUAAGAUAGGACCGCGGUACUAUUUUGUUGGUUUGAGAACCAAGGUAAUGAUGAAUAGGGACAGUUGGGGGUAUUCGUAUUCAGUUGUCAGAGGUGAAAUUCUUAGAUUUACGGAAGACGAACUACUGCGAAAGCAUUUACCAAGGAUGUUUGCA
rnacentral:rRNA from 1 species